rnacentral:rRNA from 1 species
GGAUUCCUUAAGUAAUUGCGAAUGAACAAGGACAUGCUUAGCUUGACAAUUGGAGCCUCUGGCUUCGACUUGUAUUUUUGAAAUGUAUUACCAACAGAGGUGCAGGUGUCAGCCUAUUGAAAGAAAGCGUCAAUGAGGGUGAGAAUCCUGUUUGUCAUGUGCAAUCCUCUGUGCACGGUGUAUGUUUGCUGAGUCACACUCCUUGGCAUUGGAAUGCAAAGUGGGUGGUAAGUUUCAUGUAAAGGUAAAUAUAGGAUUGAGACUGAUAGCACACAAGUACCAUGAGGGAAAUAUGAAAAGGACUUUGAAAAGAGAAUUAAAUGAGUUUGUAUUUGCUGAACAGAAAAUAAACAGAUUUGAUGUUGCUUGGUGAGAUUGUGGUGCUUGCUUGACAAUAGGUUUUGAUUGUGGGUGUGAUGAUUCUUGCUUUGCUUGCCAGUUUCUAUUUGUACAUUUGAUUACCCUUGCACAUGAAUGGUAAUUUUCCUGCGGGGUUUGGAUUGCAUGUGUUUGUGAUGAUUUGUGUUUUGAUACAUGUGUCUGGUGCUUUUGUAAUUGCUCAUUUCUUGAAGCUGGGCCUACCCUACUAGAGCUUACAAGCCCUGGCACACAAUUGCUGGCAAAAUGCUUCUGCUUGACCCGUCUUGA